CAGCAGUGGGGAAUUUUCCGCAAUGGGCGAAAGCCUGACGGAGCAACGCCGCGUGAGGGAUGAAGGCCUCUGGGCUGUAAACCUCUUUUCUCAAGGAAGAAGAUCUGACGGUACUUGAGGAAUAAGCCACGGCUAAUUCCGUGCCAGCAGCCGCGGUAAUACGGGAGUGGCAAGCGUUAUCCGGAAUUAUUGGGCGUAAAGCGUCCGCAGGCGGCCUUGUAAGUCUGUCGUUAAAACGUGGAGCUUAACUCCAUUUCAGCGGUGGAAACUACAAGGCUUGAGUGUGGUAGGGGCAGAGGGAAUUCCCGGUGUAGCGGUGAAAUGCGUAGAUAUCGGGAAGAACACCAGUGGCGAAGGCGCUCUGCUGGGCCAUAACUGACGCUCAUGGACGAAAGCCAGGGGAGCGAAAGGGAUUAGA
rnacentral:rRNA from 1 species